rnacentral:rRNA from 1 species
UGGCGAACGGGUGAGUAAUACAUCGGAACGUGUCCUGUAGUGGGGGAUAGCCCGGCGAAAGCCGGAUUAAUACCGCAUACGACCUAAGGGAGAAAGCGGGGGGAUCUUCGGACCUCGCGCUAUAGGGGCGGCCGAUGGCAGAUUAGCUAGUUGGUGGGGUAAAGGCCUACCAAGGCGACGAUCUGUAGCUGGUCUGAGAGGACGACCAGCCACACUGGGACUGAGACACGGCCCAGACUCCUACGGGAGGCAGCAGUGGGGAAUUUUGGACAAUGGGGGCAACCCUGAUCCAGCAAUGCCGCGUGUGUGAAGAAGGCCUUCGGGUUGUAAAGCACUUUUGUCCGGAAAGAAAACCAUCGCCCUAAUAUGGUGGUGGGAUGACGGUACCGGAAGAAUAAGCACCGGCUAACUACGUGCCAGCAGCCGCGGUAAUACGUAGGGUGCGAGCGUUAAUCGGAAUUACUGGGCGUAAAGCGUGCGCAGGCGGUCUGUUAAGACCGAUGUGAAAUCCCCGGGCUUAACCUGGGAACUGCAUUGGUGACUGGCAGGCUUUGAGUGUGGCAGAGGGAGGUAGAAUUCCACGUGUAGCAGUGAAAUGCGUAGAGAUGUGGAGGAAUACCGAUGGCGAAGGCAGCCUCCUGGGCCAACACUGACGCUCAUGCACGAAAGCGUGGGAAGCAAACAGGAUUAGAUACCCUGGUAGUCCACGCCCUAAACGAUGUCAACUAGUUGUUGGGGAUUCGUUUCCUUAGUAACGUAGCUAACGCGUGAAGUUGACCGCCUGGGGAGUACGGUCGCAAGAUUAAAACUCAAAGGAAUUGACGGGGACCCGCACAAGCGGUGGAUGAUGUGGAUUAAUUCGAUGCAACGCGAAAAACCUUACCUACCCUUGACAUGGUCGGAAUCCUGCUGAGAGGCGGGAGUGCUCGAAAGAGAACCGGCGCACAGGUGCUGCAUGGCUGUCGUCAGCUCGUGUCGUGAGAUGUUGGGUUAAGUCCCGCAACGAGCGCAACCCUUGUCCUUAGUUGCUACGCAAGAGCACUCUAAGGAGACUGCCGGUGACAAACCGGAGGAAGGUGGGGAUGACGUCAAGUCCUCAUGGCCCUUAUGGGUAGGGCUUCACA